GAUGAACGCUAGCGGCAGGCUUAAUACAUGCAAGUCGAGGGGCAGCAUGAAGUAGCAAUACUUUGAUGGCGACCGGCAAACGGGUGCGGAACACGUACACAACCUUCCUUUAAGUGGGGAAUAGCCCAGAGAAAUUUGGAUUAAUACCCCGUAACACAACGAAGUGGCAUCACUUUGUUGUUAUAGUUUCGGCGCUUAAUGAUGGGUGUGCGUAUGAUUAGAUAGUUGGCGAGGUAACGGCUCACCAAGUCUACGAUCAUUAGCUGAUGUGAGAGCAUGAUCAGCCACACGAGCACUGGGACACGGGCCCGACUCCUACGGGAGGCAGCAGUAAGGAAUAUUGGUCAAUGGACGCAAGUCUGAACCAGCCAUGCCGCGUGAAGGAUUAAGGUCCUCUGGAUUGUAAACUUCUUUUAUAUGGGACGAAAAAAGGUCUUUCUAGACCCCUUGACGGUACCAUAUGAAUAAGCACCGGCUAACUCCG
rnacentral:rRNA from 1 species